rnacentral:rRNA from 1 species
AGAGUUUGAUCCUGGCUCAGAACGAACGCUGGCGGCGUGCCUAACACAUGCAAGUCGAGCGCGAAAGUCCCUUCGGGGGCGAGUAGAGCGGCGGACGGGUGAGUAAUACAUAGGUAAUCUACCUUCGAGCUUGGGAUAACCCCGCGAAAGUGGGGCUAAUACCGGAUAAGACCACGUAACCAUGUUGCGGGGUAAAAGGUGGCUUAUUUUUUAAAUGAGCUAUCACUUGAGGAUGAGCCUAUGGCCUAUCAGCUUGUUGGUGAGGUAAGAGCUCACCAAGGCUAUGACGGGUAGCUGGUCUGAGAGGACGACCAGCCACACUGGGAAUGAGACACGGCCCAGACUCCUACGGGAGGCAGCAGUGGGGAAUAUUGGGCAAUGGGCGAAAGCCUGACCCAGCGACGCCGCGUGGGCGAUGAAGGCCUUCGGGUUGUAAAGCCCUGUCAUGUGGAAAGAACAGUUCCGUGGUGAAUAUCCACGGGAUUUGACGGUACCACAGGAGGAAGCACCGGCUAACUCCGUGCCAGCAGCCGCGGUAAUACGGAGGGUGCAAGCGUUGUUCGGAAUUAUUGGGCGUAAAGGGCGCGUAGGCGGUUGUGAAAGUCAGAUGUGAAAUACUUCGGCUCAACUGAAGAACUGCAUCUGAAACUUCAUAACUCGAGUACAGGAGAGGGAAACGGAAUUCCCGGUGUAGAGGUGAAAUUCGUAGAUAUCGGGAGGAACACCAGUGGCGAAGGCGGUUUCCUGGCCUGAUACUGACGCUGAGGCGCGAAAGCGUGGGGAGCAAACAGGAUUAGAUACCCUGGUAGUCCACGCUGUAAAC